rnacentral:rRNA from 1 species
ACUCCUACGGGAGGCAGCAGUGGGGAAUAUUGCACAAUGGGGCAGCCAAGCCUGAUGCAGCCAUGCCGCGUGAUGUAGCAAGAAUGGGCCUUUCGGGUUGAUAAAGCACUUUCAGUCGUGAGGAAGUAGUGUAGUUAACUAGCUUGCUAUUAUUUGACGUUAGCGAACAGAAGAAGCACCGGCUAACUCCGUGCCAGCAGCCGCGGUAAUACGGAGGGUGCGAGCGUUAAUCGGAAUUACUGGGCGUAAAGCGCAUGCAGGUGGUUUGUUAAGUCAGAUGUGAAAGCCCGGGGCUCAACCUCGGAAUUGCAUUUGAAACUGGCAGACUAGAGUACUGUAGAGGGGGGUAGAAUUUUCAGGUGUAGCGGUGAAAUGCGUAGAGAUCUGAAGG